CAAUCAUAAAUAUAUAAGAUGUCUGUAAGUGAAACACUUAUAGUUUGCAUCAUUGUUACUGCAAUAUGCAUCACAACAGUAUAUAUAUUUACAUGUAAACAGCACAAUUGCAUUUAUAUGCUUUCAAUACUGAACUCUCAGGUAAUUCAAUAUAUUCUGCCUAGGAUGUAUAUAAUAGUGAAAUUAAAAUAACAGUAUAUUGUAUUGCACAUAGAAUUAAUGAAAGAAGCAGUUGACAUAAAUAUAGAACCCAUCAAUACAGUUACGAGACCGAUCAUAAAAUUCAGAGAUCAAUCACGCUUGACAUAAAUUGUUUACCUUAGUGGUAGAGGAUUUCAUUGACAACAAUAAAAAUGUUAGCCAGCUUUCUUAAUUAGUUGACAUAUAUAAAGUGUUAAAAAAAAAUUUCAACCACAUAAUACAUUUAUUUCAACUGAAAGCAUGUCUAACCGAUAAACUUGUACCGGUACAAAGAAAAGUGUUAAAGCAAACAGGUUAUGGAUGGAAAUGAGGGAGAUUGGGGCCAUUAUGAAGUUGACGAAUUUAACAUUCCAACUCAAUCUGGCUGACUCAAAAUUUGCAUGCUUCAGUCUGGGGUUAUGUGUUCAGGUGAAGAAAAUCUCAAUCUGGUUGAAGAAAAGCACAAUCAUUAAAUUCAUGAAAUCACAGAUAAUGGAAUUUCAAUUUGCAGCCAUUUUAAAAUUAAUAAAAAAAAGGUGUAGGCUUCAAACUGAAUGAAAUGACAUAGAUUUUAGAAUUCCUCAUAGACAGUGAUUCGGGUUAGUGAGGUUUCGGGUUAAUCAGGGUUUUUUUCCUAUUACUAUCAGUGAUGAUGUGAUACAUGGAAAGGGAUUCAGGUUAGAGAGGUUUUGGGUUAAUCAGUUUUUCCUGUUUUCAGUGAUGAAGCGAUAUAUGUAAAGGGAUUCGGGUUAGAGAGGUUUCGGGUUAAUCAGUUUUUACCUGUUUUCAGUGAUGAAGCGGUAUAUGUAAAGGGAUUCAGGUUAGAGAGCUUUCGGGUUAAUAAGUUUUUACCUGUUUUCAGUGAUGAAGCGAUACAUGUAUUACUAGUCUACUCUAUAGCUAGGAUUCAAAAAUGUCGAGACGAAAAGUGAAAACAAAUCCUGCACAAACAGAGAAGUACUCAGUGAUAGGUGUAGAUCAAAACAAGAAAUUAGCGAAGUUAAUUAGUAAUCUACAUGGAGGAGUGUUAAUUAAAGCAGCAAUAUGUCAGCUAUGGAGGAGAGUAUGCAACCUUUCUCUACUGUAACAGUCGCUGUCCAGUAAGUCUCAGAAUCAACAAUAAUGACACAUUCAAUAAUUAGUUCCUGUAAUUAUAGAAAAAUGAUUAUUGUAUGAAAAUUAGCUAUAGUGACGAUAUAGCAGCACUGUGUAUAGUAUUUAAGUUCU